rnacentral:lncRNA from 1 species
GUAAAUUUGAGGAUCUAAUUGACUUUAUGUAAUGAUUCAUGAAUUUGGCAGUAUCCCAUCUUAGCAGAUGGAAGGAACUCUGUGUAGCUGAACAAACUGAAAGGCUUUUAUAGGCAGAAGGGGGUAGGAAAAGGAAAUUUCUAGCAAAGAGUCGAUUGCUUCAGGCAAAGUCACCUUCCUUUGGGAGACAGAAGGGAUCCAUCGGGCAGAUUACCUCACUACUGCUAACCAGAGAAUGGGAGAUCAACAGAGAGAAGCAAAAAGGUCUGCUAGCAAAGGAGCCAAAUAAGCAUUUGCAAUUUGUUGGAGGCGGACAAAGAACAGAGACCCCAGAGUGCAAAACACCUCCACACAGAUCUCUCGUUGGCUUCAUCCCUGUCUUCAACCAUAUGAGCUCUACUAUGUGUAAGACCAAUGAGGAUUUUUGGUGAACGAUAGAGUUGAAUAAAAUACAAUUACGCUCCUUGUGGACCUGGCAUUCCCUGGAAUGGCUUCAAAAAGGGGGUGCAGUAAAGGCAGUUAUGGCCAAAUUUCUGAGAAGCUUACUGUUGACUCUGCUGGAUUGUCAUGUUUUCAUGGCCAAAGCACUCCCUGGGACACCUGCCCCCAGUCGUCGUGUUUGUUCUCAGGUCUGUGCAUCUGAAUUGCUAUCAACCAAGGUGGUGUGGAGAGAGUGCUGUAUCUCCUCACAGCCUAAUCGUAGAGUCAUUGCAAGGUGGGAGUCCUCAGCAUCCUGUUAAGCCUGGACCAGCUGAGCAUGACAGUUGCGUUGUCCUCACCCUCUGGCCACAUCACGCUCCCAAACAGUGGAGAUUUUAGGACAGAAAUGACAUCAUGGAUUUUGUUUACUGUGGCCUAUCUUCAAUGACCUGAGUCAAGACAGUCUGUCGCUUGGACUUGCCGUAGAGUGAAGAAUACUGGCUUUGGAGUGGGAACAACCUGGAGUUCAGUGCUCUGCCACUUGCCAGCAUUGUAACCGUGGUCAGUGACUUACCUUUCUGGAAUUCCCUCUUUCUCCUCUGUAAUAUAGGAGUAAUAGUAACAGGCAACUCAAAGGACUCUUACGAGGAUCGAAUGAGAUGACCCAUGUGAAGUGUUUAAGCCUGGACCUGGACCGCAGUAACCCUAAAUAAAUUUAGCCCUUAAUAUGGCUUUUUUAGGCCUAUUUGAUCUUACAAUAGGUUACUAUAAUUUUUUUUUUUUAGUUUUCAGCCCGUUUCAAAUAAAGAUCUCUUGCCUAAG